CCAAAAUUCCCUUAGCCUAAAAGCCUCUCUCCAAAUAUUAAUAGCAAUCCUCUUCCAACAAUAUUCUGAUGGCCCCUUAAGCUAUUAUGAAUAGAUGCCUAGCUCCAAAACAUGGGCGUGUAACUACUCAAAUACUUGUCAAAUGGCUCAACACAGGACCAGAGGACAUCACUUGGGAGUAGGGGCAUUGAAAAUCGAACCGAUAUCGAAGCUUAAUGGCUUAUUGGUAUCAGGUUAACGGUUUAAUGGAUGGGAAACAUAUUGAAAU
rnacentral:lncRNA from 1 species